AAUAACCUUGGGUUUCAAGCAAGUUACAAUACUGCCACCGUAAAUAAUCUCAUUUUGCCUUUUUCUCUCCAUCCACCCCCGCAAUCUCAAGUCUGUCUCUCUCCAGUAACCACACCGCAGGCCGCUGUCAUCAUCGUCGACGGUCGUCGUCAUCAUUGCGCGUUCAGCAACGCGGCAACUCCUCUGUAGCCACAAACUCCGUUCGACGGCCAUCCUCAUCAUCGUUGACGGUGAUUUUUAAUUUAGAUCUGGGUUACUCAUUUCUUACUGCUGCAGUUUCAGUAUAUUGCUGAUAAGCCAAAACAUUGUGAUGGGAAAGAAAAAAUCCGAUGAUAGUGGAGUGGCAGCCAAAGGUAAGGCCAACAGCAAAGAUUCUGCCAAAGAUGGGAAGAAAGAAAAGCUCUCUGUGUCAGCCAUGCUUGCGAGCAUGGACCAGAAACCUGAUAAAGCCAGGAAAGGAUCAACUUCCUUGAGCUCUGGUUCUAGUAAGCCCAAAGCAAAAGCACCUGUUAAACCAUCUUAUAUGGAUGGCGUUGAUCUCCCUCCUUCAGAUGAGGAUGGUGAUUAUGACUCCGAAGAAGAGCAACAACAGAAUGAUGUCCAUAAAUCUGGCAGGCAGCAAAGAGGUGAGGCCAAGUCUCUUGACAUUUCUAUAACUGAUAAAGAAUUGAAGAAACGGGAAAAGAAGGAAAUGCUAGUUACCCAAUUUGCCGAGCAGGCCAAGCAGGAAGCCCUAAAGGAUGAUCAUGAUGCCUUUACAGUUGUUAUUGGUAGUCGUGCAUCUAUUCUGGAUGGUGAAAAUGAAGCUGAUGCUAAUGUGAAAGAUAUAACUGUAGAUAAUUUCUCUGUGUCAGCUCGUGGGAAAGAACUUCUAAAGAAUGCAUCAGUGAAAAUAUCUCAUGGGAAGAGGUAUGGAUUGGUUGGACCCAAUGGAAAGGGCAAAUCUACCCUAUUAAAGCUCCUAGCUUGGAGAAAGAUUCCAGUUCCUAAAAAUAUAGAUGUGCUUUUGGUUGAACAAGAGGUUGUUGGUGAUGAUAAAACUGCCCUUGAAGCAGUUGUUUCGGCUAAUGAGGAGCUCAUCAAUCUCCGACGCGAGGCUGCAUCUUUGCAAGAUGCACCCUCUGCUGCGGAGUUUGAGGAUGAAAAUGAUGAUGGCCAUGGGGAUGAUGCAGGAGAGAAACUUGCUGAAUUGUAUGAAAAAUUGCAGCUGAUGGGGUCUGAUGCUGCCGAGUCUCGGGCAUCAAAAAUUCUUGCUGGUUUGGGUUUCACCAAAGAAAUGCAGGGCCGCCCUACCCAGUCAUUUAGUGGUGGCUGGAGGAUGAGAAUUUCAUUAGCUAGGGCACUUUUUGUGCAGCCAACACUAUUGUUGUUGGAUGAACCAACCAAUCAUCUUGACCUGCGGGCUGUUCUCUGGUUGGAGGAGUACUUGUGCCGCUGGAAGAAAACUCUUGUUGUUGUCUCGCAUGACCGUGAUUUCCUUAAUACAGUCUGCAACGAGAUUAUUCACCUCCAUGACCUGAAACUUCACGUGUACCGUGGGAAUUUUGAUGAUUUUGAAAGUGGUUAUGAGCAGCGCAGAAAAGAGAUGAACAAGAAAUUUGAGAUUUAUGAAAAGCAGGUCAAAGCUGCCAAGAGGUCUGGGAAUCGGGUAGAGCAAGAGAAGGUCAAGAGUCGAGCUAAAUUUGCUGCUGCCAAAGAAGCAUCAAAGAGUAAGGCAAAGGGCAAGGUUGAUGACGAUGAACCCUUGCAGGAGGCCCCCCAUAAAUGGAGAGAUUACACUGUGGAGUUCCAUUUCCCUGAACCCACUGAGCUCACCCCCCCACUUUUGCAGCUAAUUGAAGUCAGCUUCAGUUAUCCAAACAGGGAGGAUUUCAGGCUCUCUAAUGUUGAUGUUGGUAUUGAUAUGGGUACUCGUGUCGCUAUAGUUGGACCAAAUGGAGCUGGGAAAUCUACAUUGCUAAAUCUUCUAGCUGGGGACUUGUUCCCAAGUGAGGGCGAAGUGAGGAGGAGCCAAAAAUUGAGGAUUGGGCGAUAUUCACAACACUUUGUUGAUCUUCUAACAAUGGGUGAAACACCAGUCCAGUAUCUUCUUCGGCUUCAUCCUGAUCAAGAGGGAUUGAGUAAGCAAGAGGCUGUCCGUGCAAAGCUUGGAAAAUUUGGACUCCCUAGUCAUAACCACCUCACGCCCAUUGCAAAAUUAUCUGGUGGUCAGAAAGCUCGUGUUGUUUUCACUUCAAUCUCGAUGUCAAAGCCGCACAUUUUGCUAUUGGAUGAGCCCACAAAUCACUUGGAUAUGCAGAGUAUUGAUGCACUGGCUGAUGCACUUGAUGAGUUCACAGGUGGAGUUGUCUUGGUUAGCCAUGAUUCGAGAUUAAUAUCACGGGUUUGUGAAGAUGAAGAAAGAAGCCAGAUUUGGGUGGUGGAGGAUGGAACUGUGAGGACCUUCCCUGGCACUUUCGACGAAUACAAGGAAGAGCUACUAAAGGAAAUUAGAGCAGAGGUUGAGGAUUAAAAUGGCCUACAUGCAAUAGGCACUGCCUUGAUGAUAUGUUAAGCAGCAUGUCUCCCCUUUCAUGGUAUUGUCAUAUACUGUUCCAAUUUGAUGCUGUUUUGCAGCUGAUUUAAUAUGCCACUAUCUCAUCAGCAAUUCUUAUACAUAUGUUGUACCAAAAUGAUUAGUACUAGGUAUUUGCCGACUACUUUCAUGCAAUUAGCAGCUUCAUUCAGAAUUUAAUCUCUCUCUCUCUCUCUCUCAUACGUUGUGGGCAAAAUUUCUGAUAUUCAGUCCAUUCUGUAUCCAGGACUAGGUCCGACAGCUGAGCAGUAGCCAUGGUCAGGAAGAUAGCGGUUGAGAAAAUCAAGCCAUCAAGAGGAAGAAAAACCUCCCCUACCUUGUAUGAUUUUGGCGAAUCAUGCAACCUUCCAUGGAGAAAUUUUUGGCGUGAGUUCUUUUUCGUUAUUUUUAUUUGUUACUCCAUAUAUAUGCCCUGUUGUAAAAGCAUACAACCCAACAAAUAAUUGGUUUUAGUUUUUAUUCUUCCAUCAUCUUACUGAAGAUGAAGAUAUGAUUUAUACAUAAGAUAAAAGCUAAAUGAUAAGACAAAAGUCUAAUGUACUCGAGAUUAAGAUUUGCUACUGCCAUUGUUGUUGUUA